rnacentral:rRNA from 1 species
CCUACGGGCGGCAGCAGUGGGGAAUAUUGGACAAUGGGGGGAACCCUGAUCCAGCCAUGCCGCGUGUGUGAAGAAGGCCCUCGGGUUGUAAAGCACUUUCAGUGAGGAAGAACGCCUGGUGGUUAAUACCCAUCAGGAAAGACAUCACUCACAGAAGAAGCACCGGCUAACUCCGUGCCAGCAGCCGCGGUAAUACGGAGGGUGCGAGCGUUAAUCGGAAUUACUGGGCGUAAAGCGCGCGUAGGUGGCUUGAUAAGCCGGUUGUGAAAGCCCCGGGCUCAACCUGGGAACGGCAUCCGGAACUGUCAAGCUAGAGUGCAGGAGAGGAAGGUAGAAUUCCCGGUGUAGCGGUGAAAUGCGUAGAGAUCGGGAGGAAUACCAGUGGCGAAGGCGGCCUUCUGGACUGACACUGACACUGAGGUGCGAAAGCGUGGGUAGCAAACAGGAUUAGAUACCUCUGUAGUC